rnacentral:lncRNA from 1 species
GCUGACUGACCAAUGAACAGCUCUCACCUGCGGACCUUAUGCCCUAGAAUAUAGGGCCUCUGGUCUGAAGGAAAUCUGAGGCCUUGCCUUUCAUAGAAGACAUGAUUGCUUUAAGAGAGUCCCAACCAGAGAAGAGGACGGUGGAGGAGGGAAGAGGGGAAGGUACAACUGAACAGAGGCUUUGAUUGUGAGGCUCCAGCCAGACCCACGCUUCCUCCUGCCUUCCUGCCUCAACCCUCCCCGGUGGACCCCUCACCAGAUGAAGGUCUGUUAGCUGAGCUGGGGGAUGAUGACUCAGAACAACGGGGCUGACUUUCAGGCAAGGCCUGAGUUUGGUUUUAAUUAUGCUGCGCUGUCUGCAUGAACUAAAAUUGCGGGAUGAU